rnacentral:lncRNA from 1 species
AAAAGCUGUGUAAGCUCAUUAGAAUCAUAAAUACAAAAAUGGAUUCUCUCUGAUAAAAUGUAAGCCUUCAAACCUAUGCAUUCUUUUCUUCUCUAUUUGCUGUUACCUCACCAUAUGUUUAUAAUAUUAUUAUAUAUGUCUAUGUGUUUCUGUAUACCAUUGUAUCAACAUAGGUUCUUCAGAAUAAUAUAUAUAUAUAUAUAAAGAGAAAAUUACUGUGCAAAAAAGGAAAAUAAAUAGAAAAAGAAUUGCGAUUGUAUUGUUCUUGUUCAUCUCAAAGUAAAAGUCAGUUGGACCUUGUAAAUAUGUUGUGACUCCCGAAUUAGAAAAAAACAACAACUUAGGAUUAAGGAAUCAAACAAUUACUGAGAUAAAAAGUAUUUACAAUGAUAGUGCAACGUUAAUUGCAUGGUGUAGCACCAG